rnacentral:rRNA from 1 species
UACGUAGGGUGCAAGCGUUGUCCGAAAUUAUUGGGCGUAAAGAGCUCGUAGGUGGUUUGUCGCGUUGUUCGUGAAAACUCACAGCUUAACUGUGGGCGUGCGGGCGGUACGGGCAGACUGGAGUACUGCAGGGGAGACUGGAAUUCCUGGUGUAGCGGUGGAAUGCGCAGAUAUCAGGAGGAACACCGGUGGCGAAGGCGGGUCUCUGGGCAGUAACUGACGCUGAGGAGCGAAAGCGUGGGGAGCGAACAGG